AGAACGAACGCUGGCGGCAUGCCUAACACAUGCAAGUCGAACGAGACCUUCGGGUCUAGUGGCGCACGGGUGCGUAACGCGUGGGAACCUGCCCUUAGGUUCGGAAUAACUCCUCGAAAGGGGUGCUAAUACCGGAUGAUGUCUUCGGACCAAAGAUUUAUCGCCUAUGGAUGGGCCCGCGUUGGAUUAGCUAGUUGGUGAGGUAAAGGCUCACCAAGGCGACGAUCCAUAGCUGGUCUUAGAGGAUGAUCAGCCACACUGGGACUGAGACACGGCCCAGACUCCUACGGGAGCAGCAGUGGGGAAUAUUGGACAAUGGGCGAAAGCCUGAUCCAGCAA
rnacentral:rRNA from 1 species